CCUGGUUGAUCCUGCCGGUAGUCAUAUGCUUGUCUCAAAGAUUAAGCCAUGCAUGUGUAAGUAUGAACUAUUUCAGACUAUGAAACUGCGAAUGGCUCGUUAAAUCAGUUAUAGUUUGUUUGUUGGUACGUGCUACUCGGAUAACCAUAGUAAUUCUAGAGCUAAUCGUGCAACAAAACCCGACUUCCGCUAGGGAUGCAUUUAUUAGAUAAAAAAGGCUGGCGUGGGCUUUGCCCGCUGCUCCGAUGAUUCAUGAUAACUUUCGACGGAUCGCGACGACCCUCGUGCGGCGGCGCAUCAUUCAAAUUUCUGCCCUAUCAACUUUUUGAUGGUAGGAUAGGGGCCUAUCAUGGUGGUGACGGGUGACGGAGAAUUAGGGUUCGAUUCGGAGAGGGAGCACGAGAAACGGCUACCACAUCCAAGGAAGGCAGCGGUAGCGCCAAAUUGCCCAAAUCGACACAAGGAGGUAGUGACAAUAAAUAACAAUAUCGGGCUAUUCGAAGUCCGGUAAUUGGAAUGAGUACAAUCUAAAUCUUUAACGAGGAUCCAUUGGAGGGCAAGUCCGGUGCCGGCAGACCACGGUAAUUCAGCUCAAUAGCGUAUAUUUAAGUUGUUGCAGUUGAAAAGCUCAUAGUUGGACUUUGGGAUGGGUCGGUCGGUCCGCCUCGCGGUAAAAACGGUCGCCCCAUCCUUCUGUCGGUGAUGCAUGCCGGCCUUAAUUGGCCGGGGGUCGUGCCUCCGGCUGUUACUUUGAAGAAAUUAGAGUGCUCAAAGCAAGCCUAAGCUCUGGAUACAUUAGCAUGGGAUAACAUCACAGGAUUUCGGUCCUAAUGUGUUGGCCUUCGGGAUCGGAGUAAUGAUUAAGAGCGACAGUCAGGGGCAUUCGUAUUUCAUAGUCAGAGGUGAAAUUCUUGGAUUUAUGAAAGAUGAACCACUGCGAAAGCAUUUGCCAAGGAUGUUUUCAUUAAUCAAGAACGAAAGUUGGGGGCUCGAUUCAGUUAAUAGGAAGUUUAUCUAUAAGAUGCUCCUCGAUAUGAACUUCCCACAGCAAUGGGUUAAUUGGAUUCAAUCUUGCCUGGAAACUCCAAAGUUUUCGAUACUCUUUAAUGGCUCACCAAUUGGUUUUUUUGGGAGCACGAAUGGCAUCCGACAAGGAGAUCCACUCUCUCCGUAUCUUUUUACUAUUGCGAUGGAAGGACUUAGCUGUAUGUUGGAACACGCAGUCUUAAAUGGCAGCAUUAAGGUACCCAUUGCUGGUUCUGUUCAUAUAUCACAUAUAACAUUUGCAGAUGACUUACUUAUCUUUCUCCAAAAUGAACCAACUUCAGUAAAGAACCUGGCUACUCCAAUCAUGAACAACUCUUCUCAAUAAACUCUUCUGAGUUCAUUGCUAACGGUACCUGGUGUCUCCCUAAUCCUAUUUCCCCCGAAAUGUUAUCACUUUGGCCGACUAUUAUAGCUAUUCCAAUCACGAACAACUCUUCAGAUAUACUUAUUUGGCCUCAUGACAAUGGCAAAUUUAGUGCCACAUCUGCAUGGAAUCAAAUUAGGCAAAGAAAUAACA
rnacentral:rRNA from 1 species